UAGGGAAUAUUGCGCAAUGGGCGAAAGCCUGACGCAGCCACGCCGCGUGAGUGAAGAAGGCCUUCGGGUUGUAAAGCUCUGUCAUUCGGGAAAAACGGCUAUCCGGGGAAAGUUCGGGUAGCGUGAUGGUACCGAAGGAGGAAGCACCGGCAAACUCUGUGCCAGCAGCCGCGGUAAUACAGAGGGUGCAAGCGUUGUUCGGAUUUACUGGGCGUAAAGCGUGCGUAGGUUGUAUUGAGAGUCGCGGGUGAAAUCCCAGGGCUUAACCCUGGAACUGCCUGCGAGACCUCAGUACUGGAGUAUGAAAGAGGAUAGUGGAAUUCCUGGUGUAGCGGUGAAAUGCGUAGAGAUCAGGAGGAACACCUGUGGCGAAGGCGGCUAUCUGGUUCAUUACUGACAC
rnacentral:rRNA from 1 species